UACAAUCAUUCAGAAACGCUUGAAGGUUACUGUAUCGAUCGAAUCCCUGAUCAAAGGUCGUUUCAAACGCUCGAGAAUCCCCUCCCUACAAAGAAGCACUAAUCAAAGGUCGUUUCAAACGCUCGAGAAAAAUGGGGUUUCAUGCUUAUUCAAUCUUUCUCUAUCUAGUUUCCCAUAUUUCUUGAUCCUUAUCUGACUCUCUAUCUCUCUCUACCUCCCCUUUCUUGAGCCAUUAUAUAGAUCUCUAAAAUUCUCUUUCCUGAUACUUUCUUGAUCCUUCUCUCCCUCUCUCCUCCUGAUGUUUUUGUUUUUUAUUUCUCUCUUAUUUAUUUAUUUAUUUAUUUCUGUCUCUGUGAAGCAAUUUUGGAUCUUGAAAAUGCCACUGAGUGUUGAGGAUGUUUUGAAGAGAAUCGAACACUUACCUCACAAAGUGUGUAUCAUGAAGGACGAAGAAGACCUUACUCAUUGUUGGGAACAAAUAAUGGCACCUGCCCACAGGGCUUUGAGUGAUAUCCAAGGCUCUUAUGCUGAACUCUCUUUCCUCAGGACCCAUAUAGAAAGUGGGGUAACCCUAAAAUCAGAGGUAACCCUAGAAGCCAUUGCCUCGUAUGAAAACAAUAUGAAUUCCCUUUUGGCAUGGAUUAAUCAUAAUGUGACUUCAUUAUUGGCCUUAUUUGAUGACAUUGUAAGAUGCCAUGAGAAACCUACACCAAGGGAUAGAGAGUUGUUUAAGGUGCAUAUCAAUAGGAUUGCUCCUUUCAUCUGUUCCUUCCCUCCUAGUAAGAGAAUGCAACAAAUUGAGAACAUUGUUGGUGGGUUUCAAUCUCUCUCUCUCUAAAUGUUGAUAGGGAUAUUGUCGGUGGCCUUGAGUCUCUUUCCCUAAAUUUGAAGGACUAAAAGUGUGAUUUGGUGGGGGACCGACCCAGUCCAACUUGGAGGGAACAACCCAAUUCUGCAAUGACUGAUGUCGUUUUGUCAGAAUCAACAUUCCGGGUUAGAGAAUCGGGUAAUUAAACUCUUCAAUGGAUGGAGAAUGAAUUCAUGGCUGAGCCUCUCUCUCUCUCUCUGCGACCUGAUACAUCUCUCUCUCUCUCUAUCUCUGCGACCUGAUACAUCGAGGCUUAGUUUCGGAUACAUUAAAGUUCAGUUUCAGGCUUCUACUCUCUUCAUUCAUUGAUAGCUGCUGACUUUACAUGAAAAAUCCGGAUUUUUCUUAAUAUUUUUGUGAAUAAGGAUCAACUUCACUCUUAGCUCAUUGAUAGGUGCUGUGUACUUGAAAAAUUAAGAUUUUUUCUUAAUACUUUUGUGAAUAUAAUGGAUUCUGGAGUUUGUUUUAUUACAA